GACGAACCCGUGCGAACGUUAUUCGGAAUCACUGGGCUUAAAGCGCGUGUAGGCGGGGCGGUGCGUCGGUCGCUGAAAUCCCCCGGCUCAACCGGGGAAGGGGCGCCGAGACGACCGCCCUGGAGCGACGUAGGGGGAACUGGAACUUCCGGUGGAGCGGUGAAAUGCGUAGAGAUCAGCAGGAACACCCGUGGCGAAGGCGGCCCCCUGGGCCGUUUCUGACGCUGAGGCGCGAAGGCUAGGGGAGCGAACGGGAUUAGAAACCCGUGUAGU
rnacentral:rRNA from 1 species